UCAGUACCACCCACAGUGCCCUUUCCUGAGCAGUAGGUCGGUAGGAAAUCCAAACCACGAAGGGGUUUCAUGAUUUGCGAGGAAGGUCGUUAGUCUCUGGAGCUUUCGACCCUGCACUACCACCUUCUGCAGUGUCGGUUUAUUUCUGGCCCUUGUGAUUUGUGCUUUUCGGUGUUCAUUGAAUGCCGUCGAGGUCUGUAAUGGGGAUUCUUCUCGAGUGAAGAGGCGCGCGGGAGCGAGAAUUUUCCCUUGUUGUAGCGUGCACAAGUCUUUAGUUUGAUUGCAGCGGCUUUCUUGAUCUUGUAACAUGCUUUCAACGUGUUUUGUCGUCGUUUUCUGCCGCAUUGCGAUACAGCAGAUCCGUGUAGAAUAGUGGGGAUUGGCAGUUGAGCGGAGUUAGGAGAAAGCGAGAGAGAGGAAGAGAGGGAGAGGUGCUAUGGCGUGGGAAGUUGAGUGAUGGGAAGGAGAAAGUGAUGGAGGCUGUGUUUAGUCGUGGCGAGGUGUUGCCUUCAUUCGGUUUUUUGGUUUUAUUUUCGCGAGGUUUUCUGGUAGACGGUGUGGUACUCAUCAUGAUUGGUGUUGUAUAGACUUCCGCAGCGGAGGUAGUGCCUGCGUGGUGUUGAUUGUGGCCGAAGCAUCGUUGUCUGCCGGUGGUCAGGACCCAUUCUUGGAGGUGAAAGCUAUUUCGAGGGUGUUGUCAUCGGAGGCAACUUGUGGACUUGACUAGCUGGAGGUGAUGGUAGGAGCUUGGGAUAAGAUACUUGCUCGUUUGAGAGCAACAAGCGCGCGUUUUUUCAAUUCGUUACGAAUUGUCAUCUUAUGACAUAAUGCCGCUGCUUCAAGCUUCAUACUUCGGCUAUUUUGUGCAAGAGGUGAUCGUGAGCACUUCCAGCCGUGUUGCUUAGUUGCAGGUUUCGAAUAUCUAGAGCCUGCAGAAGUUAAGGAUUUUGUACAUGAGAGCGUGUGUCUGUGCAAACUCAUAGUGCCCGCAGAGACGAGCAGUACUGUUCCGCAAUUUGCAGAUGGAAGUUUUCGAGAAUGCCCGUUUUUCGCUUGUUCGCUCACCCUUCAUGAUCGGUAUCGCAGCAUUCAUAUUGUGAGUGUUUGCAGAUCCGACCUGUAUUAAACAUGAAAUGGAAUCACUUGGGAACGAAGUUACUGCCGCGUAAUCUCCUCGCUCGAUAAGCAUAUCAAGAACAAACCAAGCUAAGGAGCAUGUCAAGCAGAGGUUGGUGCGGCAUGGCGAAUCUAAAAGACUCUUCAUAGGGGAAUCUGUUGGUGCUCGCCCGAGGAGCACGAUGUGCGUUUGUCAGUUGGAAGGGACGAUUUCUGGGUCUUCAAAGACACCUCACAAGAUUUCCUUGAACUCUCCUCACAAACCCAGAGGCCAAGGUAUGGAGUCGAACUAUUCCUGUGGCCGCAAUGGUGAGCCUUACCAGCAAGGGGAGUUGAGUGGUGAAGAAUGGAAAACCAAUGGUUUUUAUGCAAAGAGGGAUGGAGUAUUCAAGUGUAUAGCGGGGAUAGCUGCUGAUUGUACAGCCGUGUGCUGUUGCCCUCUCUCUCUUCUUCAUCUUUUGACUUUUGCUUGCAUCAAAUUGCCUUCCAUUGUUGUCAUUCGGGCCCUCAGGAAAGUGAAAACUAAGCUUCGUAGGAAGCAGAAGUGUCAAGACGCUAAUGAGGAUGAUAUUGAUCCGAGAACACCCUUCACGCCCUGUUUUUCAUGCCCAGAAUCCACAAGUGACAUCUCUUGGGCACCAUUUUCCGGGAUUCGCUGAUCCUCAGAUGUGGCAGGAGUAUUUUGGUGUUGAAGAAAUCAGCCUUGCGGAUCACUAGAGAAUUUUGUACUUCACUCAGUGCCCGUAUUUUAUACAGAGCAGAACAUUGAUAUUUGCCAACGAGUGAGCCUCCACUCUUCCACAGCCUCAUGGUGGAACCUACGUUAGCAGCAUAGGUAGGGCCAACACUCUGCACAGAGAUGAUCACGCAUGUGUUCCUUAUUUUCGUUACGUUCCACUAACCAAGCGACAUUUCUUUCAUUGUCCA